GCCUAUGGCCAAGUCACCGGGAAUGCGCCCGAUCUCGUCAGAUGUCAGAAUUUAACCAGGAGUUGAGCCUGGAUAGUGCUUGGAUGGGCGACCACCCUACACAGCAGGUUGUUAUACAUU
rnacentral:rRNA from 1 species